GAGUUUGAUCAUGGCUCAGAUUGAACGCUGGCGGCAGGCCUAACACAUGCAAGUCGAACGGUAACAGGAAACAGCUUGCUGUUUCGCUGACGAGUGGCGGACGGGUGAGUAAUGUCUGGGAAACUGCCUGAUGGAGGGGGAUAACUACUGGAAACGGUAGCUAAUACCGCAUAACGUCGCAAGACCAAAGAGGGGGACCUUCGGGCCUCUUGCCAUCAGAUGUGCCCAGAUGGGAUUAGCUAGUAGGUGGGGUAACGGCUCACCUAGGCGACGAUCCCUAGCUGGUCUGAGAGGAUGACCAGCCACACUGGAACUGAGACACGGUCCAGACUCCUACGGGAGGCAGCAGUGGGGAAUAUUGCACAAUGGGCGCAAGCCUGAUGCAGCCAUGCCGCGUGUAUGAAGAAGGCCUUCGGGUUGUAAAGUACUUUCAGCGGGGAGGAAGGAAGUAAAGUUAAUACCUUUGCUCAUUGACGUUACCCGCAGAAGAAGCACCGGCUAACUCCGUGCCAGCAGCCGCGGUAAUACGGAGGGUGCAAGCGUUAAUCGGAAUUACUGGGCGUAAAGCGCACGCAGGCGGUUUGUUAAGUCAGAUGUGAAAUCCCCGGGCUCAACCUGGGAACUGCAUCUGAUACUGGCAAGCUUGAGUCUCGUAGAGGGGGGUAGAAUUCCAGGUGUAGCGGUGAAAUGCGUAGAGAUCUGGAGGAAUACCGGUGGCGAAGGCGGCCCCCUGGACGAAGACUGACGCUCAGGUGCGAAAGCGUGGGGAGCAAACAGGAUUAGAUACCCUGGUAGUCCACGCCGUAAACGAUGUCGACUUGGAGGUUGUGCCCUUGAGGCGUGGCUUCCGGAGCUAACGCGUUAAGUCGACCGCCUGGGGAGUACGGCCGCAAGGUUAAAACUCAAAUGAAUUGACGGGGGCCCGCACAAGCGGUGGAGCAUGUGGUUUAAUUCGAUGCAACGCGAAGAACCUUACCUGGUCUUGACAUCCACGGAAGUUUUCAGAGAUGAGAAUGUGCCUUCGGGAACCGUGAGACAGGUGCUGCAUGGCUGUCGUCAGCUCGUGUUGUGAAAUGUUGGGUUAAGUCCCGCAACGAGCGCAACCCUUAUCCUUUGUUGCCAGCGGUCCGGCCGGGAACUCAAAGGAGACUGCCAGUGAUAAACUGGAGGAAGGUGGGGAUGACGUCAAGUCAUCAUGGCCCUUACGACCAGGGCUACACACGUGCUACAAUGGCGCAUACAAAGAGAAGCGACCUCGCGAGAGCAAGCGGACCUCAUAAAGUGCGUCGUAGUCCGGAUUGGAGUCUGCAACUCGACUCCAUGAAGUCGGAAUCGCUAGUAAUCGUGGAUCAGAAUGCCACGGUGAAUACGUUCCCGGGCCUUGUACACACCGCCCGUCACACCAUGGGAGUGGGUUGCAAAAGAAGUAGGUAGCUUAACCUUCGGGAGGGCGCUUACCACUUUGUGAUUCAUGACUGGGGUGAAGUCGUAACAAGGUAACCGUAGGGGAACCUGUGGUUG
rnacentral:rRNA from 1 species